GUAAUGAUACAUAUUAAGCAUACAUUGAGUAAUAUAUUUAACAGAAAACCCUAACAAUAAUAUAACAUUUAUUGACAUAAUGAAUUAUUUAGCCACAUGAGUGCCAUUUCAACAGAUAACUUCAAAAACUAUUAGUUAUGGAAUCUGUCAAUUUCUUAAUAGUAGCAGGUCGGGCUGCCUCUGUUGCAGCUUUGAUGGUUGCCCAUAAGACAUCUUUUGAUAUAAAUUGACAUCCAUCAGCAUAAACAUCUUGUUUAAUGAUGGACCAAAGAUUUUUGAUAGGGUUGAGAUCCAGAGAUGCUGGCGGCCACACCAUCAUCCUUUCCCCUUGUAUGCUGUAAGACCCUAGGAAUGUUUGGGUGGUCCUGGCAAAGUGGGAGGAAGCAUUGUCAUGCAUGAAUAUGAGAUUCCUUAGAAGUGUCAGCAGUAUGUCAUCUAGCCAGGGAUCCAAGACCUCAUUCAGGAGAUUGCAGAAGGCUGGUAACAAGU